AGAGAGAUAACAUUGUCUCAUCCCCGGUGCCCAUGAGUCCCAUAGGAGUUCCCUAGCAGCCUGCGAUAGUUCUCCGGUCUUCCAGGCCCCCCGGAAAGAGUCCAAGCCACCAGGGGUAAACGAUCAUCCAAUAGCAACACAUGAGGGUUCCCUUUUGGAUUCGUGAGGAGUGUUGGAUAGGACGGCAGUAAGAGCGGAUCCACGUAGGACAAUGCCAUUAGGUUCGGAAACCGUAGUUGAC